rnacentral:rRNA from 1 species
GAACGCUAGCGACAGGCUAACACAUGCAAGUCGAGGGUAACAGGUAGCAAUACCGCUGACGACCGGCGCACGGGUGAGUAACGCGUAUGCAACCUGCCUAUAACUGGGGAAUAGCUCCCUGAAAGGGGAAUUAACACCGCAUAACACUAUUGAUUCGCAUGGAUUAGUAGUUAAAUGUAGCGAUACAGGUUAUAGAUGGGCAUGCGUGACAUUAGCUAGUUGGUGAGGUAACGGCUCACCAAGGCUACGAUGUCUAGGGGUUCUGAGAGGAAGGUCCCCCACACUGGUACUGAGACACGGACCAGACUCCUACGGGAGGCAGCAGUGAGGAAUAUUGGUCAAUGGGCGCAAGCCUGAACCAGCCAUGUCGCGUGCAGGAAGACUGCCCCUAUGGGUUGUAAACUGCUUUUAUAGUAGAAGAAACACAUCUACGAGUAGAUGUCUGCCAGUAUACUAUGAAUAAGCAUCGGCUAACUCCGUGCCAGCAGCAGC